UUUUACUUCCUGUUUGUUUACGUGGCCACUCCUCAUCUACCUUGCUAGCAAAGCAGUUAGCUUUCCCAUUAACGUGAUAUUUCAUAGUUUUUAUGCACUUAUAAAGCUCCAAACAGUCAAGAUGGGCUACUAUGGUGUUAAAAGACUGACAGCCUUCCUGUUCGGUUAACUGAAAGUCCUCCCUUAAGAUCCCGCCCGGGUGAAAAGCGAACCCAAUUGCUCCUUCGCAGAAGCAAUUAACUGCAGCUGGCUGGGAAUUGUGCUCCAACACGGCACACGAGUGCUUACAAUGACUCUGUGACCUACGCUUAGCCGACGUUCAUUCACUCAUUAAGGAUGAACAAUGCUUGGCCAAAUGAACUGGCUGCCUCUCUGGGCGUCACCCGUGUGAGAUUUGUUAUGUCUGUGCCCUCUAACAGUCCAAGUACAGAACAUGAUCCUUCAUUAAUCCAGUGGCGAGAAACCCUGCAGCGUUUGCGGCAGCGCCGACAGCUCGGAGCGUCAACAAAAAAAAAUAAGGUAAUUGGUUCCAGACCCACACGAGAUUGACAGGCCAAUUGGUGGGGCGUCUGCAGUGGUGCGGACCGAAGACAAACCUCUUAAUCUACCGAUGGAUCUACGGUGGAUCCCCCACGAGCUUUGGGUAGUGACUGAAAGGACACGAUCGCAGGUCGCCCCUGGCGUAAAGUUUUUGGACCCCACACUAAUUAGAGACCCCCGGCAUUCAGCAUCUACGAGGCUAUGUGGUUUAAUUGGAGCAUUGACUGUAUGUCAUACGCUAUGAAGACAACAGAGCCCAAAAAGCACACGUGGAAGCAAGAGUCUUCAGUGCAAGUUUGACAGCAAAAGACUUACAGUACAAGAUUCAAAAGUAGACAUGUAAAUAGCAAAAGACGAGCGCGAUCAUCAGAGAGACCUUGUGAUUGACUCACCUACACAUUCCUGUGCACCACAACAGCAGACGCAACAACGCAGCCAAACGCUCUCCCACACUGAGAGCUCUUUGUCUGCCAGUUGGCUGCAGCCAAACCACCGGAGGCUCCAGCCGCCCGCGUAUGUAAACAGCGGAACAAACGAGGCUUUCCAUCGCCGCUACCUUGAGCUUUAUCUGCUGCUAAAUCAGAUUUUCAAAAACAAGACUGACUGUAGCACAUUUAGGACCAGGGCCUCCUCAAUUAAGCUGACAUGAUUACCUUGUGCAAAGCACACUGGAAUAACCUCACAUUAUGGUCUCAAAGCGGAGGAUGCAAGUUGCACCAUGGGGGGAACAAAUACUGUAUCACUCCCUGAAUAACAAACAAGCACGUGUCUUCAUGUAUGGCUGCUAAAUUCCAUAUGGAUUUUUCAUAAAGCCUCUGUGGCUUUGAUGCAGAUGGCUAUUUCCUGGCCUUUCAAAUACGUGCAGAUAUAUGAAGCCUACCGGGCCCCAGGCAGGUCAGGAGAGCAUCAAUAAUUCAUGUAGCCACUAAGAACCUAUACAAGCGGGGGGGGCAGAGUCACGUGCGUGCACAACCUAACCAGCCAAAGAACACCUGCUGAACCAAGCCGUUGCUUUUCAUAUUUCAACCUCCAUUUAUUUGAACCAAAUCAAGGAAACAAGAGAUCAGGGUAAUAACCACUCAAACGUAAAUACAAAAAUAAAGGGACUCGAUGUCGGAAUACAUUUUUUUUUUAAACACAUCCACUGCUGUGGAGCAGGAUGGCUGUGAGAUGACAAUACUGUCGUUUUAUAUGGCGUUUUAAAGUCGGCUAGCUUUCAACAAGCCAAAUGCUUAUCCUUUCUUCUUCUCGAUCUGUUAUUUAGGCAGCGAUGGAACCAUCAGUCAGUCAGAGCUCUAUGCAUGGGAACUCUUAAAGCUAACAGUAAAAAAAUAGAACCUUCCAUUGAAUCUCCCAAAUUCCAGCAAGCAGAAAUGAAGCCAUGAGAGAGAGGAAGUGAGGGGGGUGUUGAAAAGGGGCGUUGUCUUGUUUACAUGAAUCCACCUUAUCUGCUUGUAGGAGAUUCCACAACAGCACAGCGUCAGCGGUCUUUGAACGCAUCACAGGGUCCAAACAGUCCGGAACCAACAGGUCCUUGUGCUUGAGAGAAGAGAUGGUGGGCGGUGGUGUUGCAGGAGGAAGAGGGGGUGAUAUCAAACGGAAUCCCUGAUCACUCCUUGCCCCCGUUAACCAGGGAGAGCUCUUUGAGGAUUCCACUGGCGUCCACUCGUCGCCUCUCCCGGAUCAUGUCCUCCAGGCUGCGAAAGACCAGCGUGUGCACCCCGCUGCCGGACAGGUGCACCUUGAGGAAGUACUGCUGCUCGGCAGAGUGCGCCUCCCCCCCGGCCUUGAACUCCCUCUUGCCGAAGCGGCACCAGGCGGCGAAACUUUCCGAGUUGGUCCAGCAUAUCUCCUCGCUGCGCAGGCCGACGUGGCCCGCCGCGUUCUGCACCACCAGGUCGGCGGGGAGCGGCCGGUACCGGUAGCGGCUGUUGGCUAUCCUGCCGUGGCGGCCGCUGCACACGUCAAGCAGGUCGUCCCUGCGGAUCUCGCCCUUGUGCAGGUGGAUGACCCGGCCGUCGUGCUCGCAGACGGCCCAAUGCGGGGGUUGCGCGGCGGCCACCAGCUCCAGCACGUCGCCCGGCUUGCACAUGGCCAGCAGAGUUGGCGCCGCGUACACGUCCAGGUCCUCGUUCUCCCGGAGUUUGGAGAAGAUGCAUUCCUGCGCGCAGAACGCCGAGUACUCCACCUCGCUCACCGUGAACGGUCCCCCGCCUUCCGCCUCCACCUCCUCCUCGUCCGCCGGGCUGUGGUCCUUGCUGAAGCCGCAGUCGGACGGCGUACGGUCGUCCACCACCUCCUCCUCCUCGUCGGAGAAGAAGUAGGCGACGCCGACGCGAAGCUCGUCCUUCUCCAGCCCGGACGGAUCCCCCGUGGGCAGCUCGCUGUAGUUGAGGUGGGUGAUCCGGUCCAGUUGGUUUCCCAUCAAGGACCCGGCAAGGCACAGGCAUGGACUGCGGUGUCUGGAAGCAAGAGAGAGACGCGUCAUUAAAGGCACCAUUUUUACGCACGACAGCUGCGUAACCUUUAUGGUCCAAAAAUACUCCACUACAGGCGGCAAACGCUCACGAGUAAACAAAGAGUGCAAAGUGAGCACAAACACGCGUGCUUUGCGCAGAAAGCACCAGGAAGUGCCCAAAAAAGAGAAUACCUGUGCGCUCCCAGGGCAGAUGGUUAAAUAUCCUUCUUGUCCAUGGGGGCGUCCGGUGGCACGCUGGCUCCCCCCUUGUUUCUCAGCCACUUGUCUCUCCCCUCACACGCUGCUCACCGCACAAGUACUGCGGCUGUAGUGCAAGCCAACACUCCUUCUCCCACUCCGUCUGGACCAUUUAAGGAGCCGACAACAGCCACGCCCACUCUCGUCUUUUCCCCGCCUCCUCCUCUUGGCUCUAGUGGACCGGGGCUUUGCCGGCCCAGCCAAUGAGCGACCCCGUUGAAAACGCCAUUCAAGGAGAGUAGCCAAUGAGCAGCGUGGAUUGUCCCUCCUGUAGCAAUAGACGUCUGUUACCGUGGCGUGGCUUUUGUUGUCACAUUGCUAUGGAAUGCUUAGAUUAGAAUAUGAGAUCCAUACAGGCCAUGGCAUAGGGAUGUACAACAUACUAUCGAGAAAAUAACACCCCUUGCAAGCUACAAGUGGGAGCACAUCAGUGGUGUCCAACGUGUGACCCUGGGGCCUUUUUGGCUCUUGGCCUAUUGUAAAACUAAAAAUGAAUAAUGUAUCUUGUGUCCACAUUUACAAAUGCACCUUUUAUUGUAUCAUAUUGCUCAAUGGUGUUGUUUAUCACAGGUACACGUGCUUCCAGGGAUACUUCUCUUGCUACUUCCUUGGACAGCGCAUCAAAAAAUAACAAAACAAUGAUCCCUAUAGUUCCAAUAUAACGUGAUAAAAAGUAUACCUUGGUCACAUUUGAGUGCAUUAUUUGAGUAAUGGUUUGUGCAUAUAGAGUUGGCCCAUCCACACUAACGUCUGAAACCGUAACCUCCCCUUCCCUUUUGUGGCGCCCCCUAUGGGAUGGAGUCCAAAUGCAAUGGAAGACAUGCUAGCAUACAUGUAAUAAUAAUCCACAUAACAGGUUAGACUUAUGGCUUUUGUUUUCUUUUCUUGGCUGAUACGUCCUUUUUAUUAUGCUUUUACUUUGGUAUAUCCAUUUCCUGUUCUGCCCAAUUUUGACUUCUCCUGACAGUGUUCUGAGGCAGCUCCUGGUCUCAGCUGUUCCUGGUUAGUAAUCAGCAGGCUUCUUAGGCGUUGUCACUGGGACAAUGCUGGACCACUACGUCUGUGUAGGAUUCUUGGAAGUCAUGUCAAUGCAUCCACAGAGAUCCUGAGCAUCUCUCCCACAUGGUGGAAGAUGGCCGCUCCCCACUUGCCGGCAUGUAACAGUCCCAGCUCUUUGUUUCCAGCUGUGACAGGCAGAGAGGAUGGAAGCUAUUCGCUAGCCUUCCUCCGUGACUCUUCCUCCGCCUACAUCCGCAAUCCCUCCAGUGUUCCCGAGACAGAUCCGUGUGGCACAGCUAAUCCCGGCAUUCCGGAGUGGCUCUCUGCAGCGCUAAGACCCACAGAUGAGAGAGUGUGCCGGUGAGCCGGUGAGUGUAGGUGUCACAACUCUGUUGAGCGGCCGUGAUUUGGGCACGCGAGCACUAUCUGCCUCUCUGAAGACGACUGAUAAGACGUCCUCCGGGGUCUCGGCAACAUAUACACACACACACACACCCCUCCUGCAUAUUCACCACACUUUCACGCGCAGCUGGGUGUCAAUAAAAAAGUGCUUCUUCACUGCAGACACGGUGACAAUUUUAGGUGAAAUAUGCACACACACAAAAAAACCCCAGCAAGCUUCCUGCGUGAAGUCUGAAGGAAAAGCCACCAAUACCAGAUGGUGAUUCCGACUUUGAAAUGGAAAUGGUGGGAAUGGAUGAGCUGCCAGGUGCGCUGACAGAGCGAGGGUGGGGGCGGGGGGUGCAUGGCUAAAUAUGUGGCUAAUGUUAGUGUGUGUGUGUGUGUGUGUGUGUGUGUGUGUGUGCCAUGAUCCACUUAAGUGGCUCUCUAAGCAUGCAGAGGAGUGUUUAAAGGCGGCUUUGCAUUAAAGGAAACAUCAUAAACAGCUUAAGACAAUGUGGUGGUUUCUACUCCCACAUCCCAGAAUGCUUUGUGUCAGCAAUGGUGACAACACAACCUGUACAAGUAGAACAAGUAGAAGCAGCUUGUUACUCCUUUUUUUUUUUGGCUUAUAGUGAAUAAU